AAGUCUUCCAGGAUAUCAAAGCUUUUUCACUGCCAUGAUAAAAUGUAAUAUCCAGCUUUAACUCACUCUAGAUCAUUACAAUCCAACAAAUAACACAGGAAAAAUCCAGAGAGACAAAUAUUUGGAGAGCAAUAAUGCCUUAUUACAGAAGUAGAGAGAUUUUCACUGCCUGUUCCUUUGUCCUUUAUAAAAAUAUAUCUCCUGAUCCUGAUGUUAUACAUUGAUAUUGAGAGUCAUCUGAACACUGAGGUCCUGGCUAUAAUGUUUAAAUUCAGGCACAAGUAUUAUGGGGAAGUGAAGACCUCCUACACAGGUUUUUAGUUUUUUGUUUUGUUUAAAAUAUUUAUAUGAAAAAUUAUCCAAACAUGUCUCUUUUCAAGAUUUCUUACUAGGGCAGAGUGUAUAGAAAUGAUGCAAGGUAUUAACAAACAGAAGUCUCUGCCUAAUUCUUUCUCCCAGAGCCGUCUCUAACACAUUUAAAAAGGAACCCUCAAAUGUAAAGCCAUAGUAGGAACAAUUGGCUGAAGGCUGUCCCUGCAAAAACUAUCCAGAAGUCAAGUAUAUAGUAGGUCAGAUUUUUAUCUGUUGUGUAUGCAGUAAAAUGUGUUCAUUAAUGGAAAUUAAUUAUGCCUGGUUUUUUACCCAGUAGUCACAUCCAAUGUGAGUCUCAAGAGCAGAUGUUUCUUCCUCUAUCUCACUAGAGAAAAAGAAGUCCCUUUCCUGUUCCUGGAUAGAUUAUGUAAAAAUUUUCAAUGGAAAAAAAAGGUAAAUAGAUGAGAAAAUUUAAACAAAUAUGUGAUAAAGACAAGGUUCUUAAUUUUAUUUUUGGUGAUAGCACCACUGUCUGCAAACUAUCCCAUAGCUGCUGAGUGAGCAGCUGGAUCAGCAUUCUCAAACUAGGAGAGAGAUUUACCUAAACUUUUCUGAACAAACUUGCAUAUAAUUAAGCAUAUUUUUUUUUUUUUAUUUUGUCAAAAUUAAUGCUUGGUGGAAACAAAAUAUUCCAGUUCCUACAGAUCUGGAGUUAAGCAUCCUGGGGUCAAGUGCAGCAGAGUGCCUUCACAAAGAUGAAAGUCAGAGUUGGAUAGGAGGUCCAGUCUUCCCAAUUCUCUUUCCCCAGACAAUUCCAGCCAAGGUCAUGUUCACAGUGACCAUUUAUUAAGUGAGCAGAGUGACUAAAACUGGUUCUGGUGCGGGGUUUACCUCCAUGGCAAGUUGCCCCUUCUCUGGCUUUCAAUUCCUUCCCCUGAAAUUAAUGCUGUAGUAAAAGUGAGCUGUCUCUCCUCAUCCUUAAUAGGAGGGCAUGAGUCCCAGGUGGUUUCAGGAGCUUUUGAGUUUCUUUUACCUAUCUCCCUGAAAACAGCACUUGAUAUUGUAUUUUUUAAAAAAUUAUUUACUUGUGCCUCAGGAGAGCCCACCUUAUUUGCAAUUCCUUUCUGGUCCACUCAGGCAUGCUGGCAAAUGGGGAGUCCGAAUGCACGGAGCAAAGAGGCAAGACAAGAGCCAAGCAAUUCCAGAAUACAGUUAAAUGAUAUCCAUCUCUGCCUUGUGAUGAACACUCAGUGAAAGUCAUCAAGACCUCCACUGAAUCAAAUUAACUCUUCAGAAACUCUGAUGCUGCAGAGAAGGGACCCAACCUCAGAUCCUCAGGACCCCCUGCUCUCCUGUUGAAGCUUUUUAGCUGGAAGUCAAGAUCAGUGAGGCACAGGCAGGAAAUUCUCUUCCUCUCCAGCACAGCAGUGCAAAGAAUGAGGACUCUAAGGACAAGUCAGAGCAAUGAUCUUAAGAAUGGUUUAGAUGGUUCCAAAAGAUGAGAAGCAAAGACACAGUGGCACCUCAGAGGGGUGGCUGCCAGGCCCAGCACAGCUGUGUCCCAGCUGAUCAAUAUUCCCAGAGCUCUGUCUGUGCUGCUUUCUGCCCCUGCAGUUACCGCGAGCGUGUGCCGAGGCGCUGAUUCAGAGCCAAGGAGGAGCGUGGCUCGUCACCUGAGCAGCGGUGUGGGCUGUGGAAAGCCUUCUGUGGGAGAUGAUUCAUCUUGACACCCAUGUUAGCAUGAUGGUAUGUUUUUCCCAGAGAUGUCCCAAGCACUUUAUCGUGUGCCAAUCCCAUUCCUUGGGAAGACUUCAAAUAAACUGAGUCAGACAAAAGUCAGUCUGGUUUCUAGGGAAAUAUGACAAGGUCAGGGCAGUGAUAUCUUGUCACUGAGAAGUGGAUAGGGCAUGACUGGAGCAAGUUUGUGUUUGUAUUCCUGUGUCUGAGCACCCAGAUGGAAUGGAGUCUUGUCUUUGUUCCUUAUGGGUCAGAAUGAGCCAUCCCAGAGCAACCUGCCCCUCUCCUGACUGGAUCUUUGGCACCUGCUAAAUUCUUUUUCUUUUACCUUGGGGUCCUGUGCCUGUAAAGUGCCAUCAGGCAUUAUCAGACUGGGGAGUGAGAAGGGGCAGUCCAGGGGUGAGAUGGACAGGACAAGAGUGAGGUCCUUAUACCCUGCAUUAAAUAAACAGAAUUACUGUGCUUUCCUUUUGUCUAUGUGUUGUGGUUUACUACAGCACCUGCUCCAAAAUUAUGUGGCUACU